CCUGCUGAGUUUAAGCAUAUAAUUAAGAGGAGGAAAAUAUACUUAAAAGGAUUCACCUAGUUAUGACGAGCGAACCAGGAAGAGCCCAACAUGAAAAUCGUGUGGCAGCACUGCCUGAAUUGUAGUCUGUAUAAGCGUCCUUAGCGAUGGACCAAGCCCAAGUCCCUUGGAAGGGGGUGCCUAAGAGGGUGACAAUCCCGUCGGGCCGGGACCCUGCCGCACCAUGAGGCACUGUCAGCGAGUUGGGUUGUUUGGGAAUGCAACCCUAAUCAGGUGGUAAAUUCCGUCCAAGGAUAAAUAUGGGUGAGAGACCGAUAAUGAACAAGUACUGUGAGGGAAAGAUGAAAAUGAAUUUGAAAAUAGAGUUAAAGAGUGCUUGAAAUUGCCGGGAGGGAAGCAGAUGGAGGCCGACGAUGCGUCUCGGUUAGAUGCAGAACAAAUCAAGUUGGUCUGUCACUCGACUUGAGGUGCGAACUAGAACAUUCUGUUUCAUCGACCUAAGAACGGGUGGAGUACUGUCUGUUGGUUUUCCGUUGUGGCAGUCGAGGAGCUGAGAAAUCAAGGGAUUCCACCAACACUCAUUUAAAUUUAUUUUUAAUCGCUUGACAAUACUUCUUUUAGUUUGUUGAUAUGGAGCUCGG
rnacentral:ncRNA from 1 species